AUGGAAAGUAUAACGGCAUACAAAAACCAACGUGGACAACCCAGAUCUGGAACUCCAGAACAAUCUGACACUCCAGUGUCUGCUAAUGACAUGUGUUCCCUUGCUGAAUGGCCAUCCCAUGCUCAUUGCAACCGUGCGCUACUACAGGAUGUAGGAAUGAACUAUCGUUCGUUCAAGGAUGACAUGGUAGUCAUAAUGAAAAGAAAGUUACCACUCAUUGGAGUGAGGACGUGGUCGGACAUUCACCCUACCAUUCAUCGACUCAUUGUUGCAGAUAUGAUACUGCAUGGGACUUGGAAGAUACACCAGAAACAGAAGAAAAAGUUCUCAAAAUUGCGAAAGAGCUAUAUAGAGGCUGGCGAUCAACUCUAA
rnacentral:rRNA from 1 species